UUAAAGAGACCACGAAAAAAUUCUUAGUAGAUUUUAAAACAUUUAUUCUUAAAAGAUGCGAUGAAUCCAAUCUUUUUAAUUACUGGAGUAAUGUUUUAGUUUUAAUAGGAUUGGUACGCAAUUUAAUUCGAGCAGAUCGCAUGGCAGACUGGAAUUUACAUUUCCUUACAGUCCAAGGAAAAAUGUUUUGGGGCUCUACUGAAAAUAAAAUUCGAGUUCAAUCCUUUCUGCAUUUAUUUAUUUUAAAAAAUGGUUACCAAUUCUGGCCUGGCGUUCAACUGGUUUGUAGUGCUACAAAUACCGAAGCAUUUCAAUCAACAUCAUCUUCUUCUGAUUUGUUAAAUAUGUUGGAAAGAAGACAGAUUGAGGAAGCUGAUAUGAGAAUAAUGAUUCAUAUAGCUCAGGCAGCACGUGAAAAUCAUAAGAAAAUAUGUAUUUUGUCAUCUGAUACUGACAUUAUAAUCAUGACAUUAUAUCACUUUAGAAAAUUUGAAUCUGUUGGAUUAAAGGAACUAUGGAUAAAAGCAGGAACAGGGGCUACAAAACGAGACAUCGCAAUACAUAUUAUGGCAUUGCGUUGUGGCACAGAAACCUGUUUGGUACUUCCUGCACUUUACCACUUGACUGGAGCGGAUUAUCCGAGCAAAGUUGGCACAAAACGUGCUGCUUUUCAAGCCGAACCAGAAAAGUAUCUUUUGAACUUUGCACAAGGUUUAACCGAAAGUGAAAUUGAAAGCUCUGUUCGGCUUGCAGAAGAGUUUUUGGUAAAAGUAUACCGCAAGGACAGUUCAUGUAAAAAUUUUAAUGAACUGAGAUAUUGGAUUUACCAUCACCAAAAAAAAUGUUUCUUUAGAAAAGUUACCCCCAACUAGUGCAAAUAUUAGAUUUCAUAUUUUAAGAGCAUUUUUAUAAUCAAAACUUUUGUUUAAAUACAUUGGAACAUACCACUUUGCUUGAUCCCCUUUGUUUUAGAUACAAGAUCGAGAAUGGUUGCCUCUUACCAAAAUCAGUAACUAACCUUUUUCCCCCGAGUGACGAUCUUUUACCAAGCUGCAAUUGCACGAAAUGUUCGCGGCAAAAUAGUUGCCGUUGUAGGGCUGCUGGGUUAGAGUGUUGUUUAUUUUAUUAUUGUAAAUGAGGAAUAAACCAGUGUAAAAAUCCGUACAAUACAUAAAUAAAGGUAAAAAGUAUA